rnacentral:rRNA from 1 species
CCUACGGGAGGCAGCAGUGAGGAAUAUUGGUCAAUGGGCGCGAGCCUGAACCAGCCAAGUCGCGUGAGGGUAGACGGUCCUAUGGAUUGUAAACCUCUUUUGUCGGGGAGCAAAAGACGCCACGCGUGGCGUUCCCAGAGUACCCGCAGAUAAAGCACCGGCUACCUCCGUGCCAGCGGCCGCGGUUAUACGGGGGAUGCGAGCGUUAUCCGGAUUUAUUGGGUUUAAAGGUUGCGCAGGCGGAAGAUCAAGUGAGCGGUAAAAUUGAGCGGCACAACCGCUUCGUGCCGUUGAAACUGGUUUUCUGGAGUGAGCGAGAAGUAUGAGGAAUGCGUGGUGUAGCGGUGAAAUGCAUAGAUAUCACGCAGAACACCGAUUGCGAAGGCAGCAUAC